CCUCCGGCUCCGCCUUCCCCUCGACCCUCUCGGGCCUCGGCUACGCGGGCUGCGGCGGAACAUGGUGGCUCCGGCCAAGGGCUCCGAAGCGGAGCUGGCAGCUGCCCUGGCGGACGUGCCCGACCUGUGCCACCUCCUGGAGAACGACCCGUACCUGAAGCCCUUCGCCUCGGACUUCCAGCGCAGGUGGCUGGAACCCGUUUUCAUAUCCUUAUAAAAAACUGGAUUAUGGAAAAUGGGAGCUGUAUAUCCCACCAAAACAGAAUAAAUUUGUCAUGGUACCGCAUGGAUCUAAGUUAAAGGUAGUUAUUACCAGUAAAAGUGGAGAGAUCUUGUACUGUAUUUCACCAUGGGCGAAGUAUGUGGUUCGUGAAGGUAGUAAUGUGAAUUAUGAUUGGAUACACUGGGAUCCCGAACACCCAUAUAAAUUUAAGCAUUCCAGACCAAAGAAGCCAAGAAGCCUGAGAAUUUAUGAAUCUCAUGUGGGAAUUUCUUCCCAUGAAGGAAAAAUAGCCUCUUACAAACAUUUUACAUGCAAUGUACUACCAAGAAUCAAAGACCUUGGAUACAACUGCGUUCAGUUGAUGGCCGUCAUGGAGCAUGCUUACUAUGCCAGCUUUGGGUACCAAGUCACAAGCUUUUUUGCAGCAUCAAGUCGCUAUGGAACCCCUGAAGAACUAAAAGAACUUGUUGACACAGCUCUUUCACUGGGUAUCACAGUCCUCUUAGAUGUGGUGCACAGUCAUGCUUCCAAAAAUGCAGAGGACAGAUUGAAUAUGUUUGAUGGGACCGAUUCCUGUUACUUCCAUUCUGGUCCUAGAGGGACUCAUGAGCUUUGGGAUAGUAAACUGUUUGCCUACUCCAGAUGGGAAGUUUUAAGGUUCCUCCUGUCAAACAUAAGAUGGUGGUUAGAAGAAUACUGCUUUGAUGGAUUUCGUUUCGAUGGGGUGACAUCCAUGCUGUAUCAUCACCACGGAGUAGGUGAGGGUUUUUCAGGUGACUACAAUGAAUAUUUUGGACUCCAAGUAAAUGAAGACUCCCUGAUUUAUCUCAUGUUGGCAAAUCAUUUGAUUCACACGCUGUAUCCAGAUUCCAUAACAAUAGCAGAGGAUGUAUCAGGAAUGCCAGCUCUUUGUUCUCCGAUUUCCCAAGGAGGGGGUGGUUUUGACUAUCGAUUAGCCAUGGCAAUUCCAGAUAAAUGGAUCCAGCUACUUAAAGAAUUUAAAGAUGAAGAUUGGAACAUGGGCAAUGUGGUAUAUACUCUGACAAAUAGACGCCAUCUUGAAAAGUGUAUUGCUUAUGCAGAGAGCCAUGACCAGGCGCUGGUUGGUGAUAAGACAUUGGCAUUUUGGCUGAUGGAUGCUGAAAUGUACACAAACAUGAGUGUCCUAGCUCCUUUUACUCCAGUUAUUGAUCGCGGAAUACAGCUUCAUAAAAUGAUUCGCCUCAUUACUCAUGUGCUUGGUGGAGAAGGCUAUCUCAAUUUCAUGGGUAAUGAAUUUGGGCACCCCGAAUGGUUAGACUUCCCAAGAAAAGGAAACGAGAGCUACCAUUACACCAGAAGGCAGUUUCAUUUAACUGAUGAUGACCUUCUUUGAUAUAAACUCCUAAAUAACUUUGACAGGGAUAUGAAUAGAUUGGAGGAAAGAUGCAGCUGGCUAUCAGCCCCACAGGCCUAUGUAAGUGAAAAACAUGAAGACAAUAAGAUCAUCACUUUUGAGAGAGCAAAUCUUCUUUUUAUUUUCAACUUCCAUCCAAGCAAGAGCUUCACUGAUUACAGAGUUGGAACAGCAUUGCCAGGAAAAUUCAAAAUUGUGCUAGACUCGGAUGCAGCAGAGUACGGAGGUCACCAGAGGCUGGACCACAGUACAGAUUUCUUUUCUGAGCCCUUUGAGCAUAAUGGGCGUCACUAUUCUCUUUUGGUGUACAUUCCAAGCCGCGUGGCUCUCAUCCUGCAGAAUGUGGACCUGCCAAGCUGAAGAGAACUGAUUUCUCCCCUCUACAUGCAGAUUGGAGUUUUCUUUGCUGGUUUGAAUUGUCACAGAGUUUAUAACAUGCAAGCAGGUACCUAGCCAAAGUGUCAGACUGAAAUUCAACAUUGUACAUGCAACGGUAUCAAGCUUUUCUUUAAGUAGUGAGAAUGGUAUGUUUAAAAUUGGCGCAUCUGUUUUCCCAAGCCAUCUGAGCAGCUAGCGUUUUCAAAUCAAACGUAUGUCUUAAAAACAUUUAUU